ACAGGAGAUACUUCAGCCCAGAAUUGUCAUCAGCUGGCCCUUCUCAGGACGAGGAGAAUUAACAAGCAUUGCUUUUGGAACACUUCAAGUGUUCCAAGUGCUUGGCAGUCGUUUACCGGUUAAUCCUCCUUUGAGGGAGGUCAGCCCUCGGCUUGAAUUUUCACAUGAAGUAUUUCACACAGAUGUGAAAUCAUCUCUGAAAGGCCACAGUGCAGCAAAUCUGGGGUAAAAGAAAUAAUCAGAGACAGAUCUGGGUCCAAGUGAGGAGCAAGAAAUGUACGCCUUUGGUUUGCCCAUGUGGACGUUCUUUCUGCUUGCUUCUCCUAUUCCAGACACAUCCAGGAGUCAAUGGAGUCUUCGCUGCAAUCCUGAGAGGUUGAUGCCAGCAUCGUCUCUAUGGCACUGAUGAGGAAACUAAGGCACACGGUGUCAAUCAGUUGUUCAGUACACAGCUAGGAACUGCUGAAUUACCCCUGCAGUGCACCUCUGGUUGUUCCCUUGAAGUCUUUUGAAAGAGAAGCCUUUGGAAAUUCUUUUAAAACACCACGUUUGUUAUUAUACAGACCUCUCACCAGUCCUUUCACUGUCAACUCUACUUUAAAGCUACUCUUCUUACAUGUUUCUGGUGCAUUCUCUGUAGGUUUUCACGAGCUCGGCAUCCAGUCCGGUUCUUAGUGUCAGAGACCACCUGCUCCAGAGGGUCGGAGCCCUUUAUUAAUUAGACACCCAGCAGCACUCUUCAAUCCCAAAAUGCUCUGCCUCCUUCUCUGCAAAACAAGCCUAACGCU